rnacentral:rRNA from 1 species
AGAGCGAACGCUGGCGGCAGGCUUAACACAUGCAAGUCGAGCGGGCGUAGCAAUACGUCAGCGGCAGACGGGUGAGUAACGCGUGGGAACAUACCUUUUGGUUCGGAACAACACAGGGAAACUUGUGCUAAUACCGGAUAAGCCCUUACGGGGAAAGAUUUAUCGCCGAAAGAUUGGCCCGCGUCUGAUUAGCUAGUUGGUGAGGUAACGGCUCACCAAGGCGACGAUCAGUAGCUGGUCUGAGAGGAUGAUCAGCCACAUUGGGACUGAGACACGGCCCAAACUCCUACGGGAGGCAGCAGUGGGAAUAUUGGACAAUGGGCGCAAGCCUGAUCCAGCCAUGCCGCGUGAGUGAUGGAAGGCCCUAGGGUUGUAAAGCUCUUUUGUGCGGGAAGAUAAUGACGGUACCGCAAGAAUAAGCCCCGGCUAACUUCGCGCCAGCAGCCGC